UUUUUAUGGAGAGUUUGAUCCUGGCUCAGGACGAACGCUGGCGGCGUGCCUAAUACAUGCAAGUCGAGCGAACAGAGAAGGAGCUUGCUCCUUUGACGUUAGCGGCGGACGGGUGAGUAACACGUGGGCAACCUACCUUAUAGUUUGGGAUAACUCCGGGAAACCGGGGCUAAUACCGAAUAAUCUAUUU
rnacentral:rRNA from 1 species